UCCUGGCUCAGGAUGAACGCUGGCGGCGUGCCUAACACAUGCAAGUCGAACGAAGCGCUCGGACGGAGUCUCUUCGGAGAGGAAGGCCGGGCGACUGAGUGGCGGACGGGUGAGUAACGCGUGGGCAACCUGCCCUGCACAGGGGGACAACAGCCGGAAACGGCUGCUAAUACCGCAUAAGCGCACAGCUUCGCAUGAAGCGGUGCGAAAAGCUUUGGCGGUGCAGGAUGGGCCCGCGUCUGAUUAGCUUGUUGGCGGGGCAACGGCCCACCAAGGCGACGAUCAGUAGCCGGCCUGAGAGGGUGGACGGCCACAUUGGGACUGAGACACGGCCCAGACUCCUACGGGAGGCAGCAGUGGGGAAUAUUGCACAAUGGGGGAAACCCUGAUGCAGCGACGCCGCGUGAGCGAAGAAGUAUUUCGGUAUGUAAAGCUCUAUCAGCAGGGAAGAAAAUGACGGUACCUGAGUAAGAAGCUCCGGCUAAAUACGUG
rnacentral:rRNA from 1 species